UAAGGUGGUUAUAGCGAUGGGGCUCACCUCUUACCAUUCCGAACAGAGAAGUUAAGCCCAUUAGCGCCGAUGGUACUGCAUUUGUGGGAGAGUAGGUCGUUGCCUUUU
rfam:Algibacter lectus DNA, contig: contig00037, strain: JCM 19300.